CUUUCGACUCUUCUUCUAAUGACCGAAACAACGGGUGGAUAUAACCUCAGGGACUCGUACAUGAUCAUACUCAUCUGCAUAUGCGUGGAAAUCAAAGUUAGAGAGAGCAAACAAAUCAGGAGUUCAUACUUUAAUUCAGUUCUUGACUUCCAUACAGUUUUUAGUUUCGCAAUGCCUAUCGGGUUUGGAGUUUGCUUGCCAAAUAAUUGUAGGACCUCUUUUCUUGCUUCCUCUUGCCAAUCUGUAUGUAAUGCCUGAAGAAAGACAGUCCAGGCAAGAAAAGUAGCAGUGCUUUCAUGUCCGGCCAAGUAAAAUGUCUUGCAUUCGUCGACCAAAUCGUCCAACGAAAUCCUCUGGUUGUCACUGGUGUCAAGGUAAGCCUUUAAAAGUAAUCCAAGAAAAUCACUCCCUAAGCUCCCUUCUUCUCCAGGCAUUACUUCCUUUCUCUUUUCUAAACAAUCUCUAUAAUGGUUUCGCGUAUUCUUUUCUCAAGCUUCU
rnacentral:lncRNA from 1 species